GACGAACGCUGUUGGCGUGCCUAACACAUGCAAGUCGAGCGAAGUGGGUACUACGGUACGAACUUAGCGGCGGACGGGUGAGUAACGCGUGGACAAUCUACCCUGUAGACUGGGAUAACACCUCGAAAGGGGUGCUAAUACCGGAUAAUGUCGAGAAGCGGCAUCGCUUUUCGAAGAAAGGAGGGAAUCCGCUAUAGGAGGAGUCCGCGUCCCAUUAGCUAGUUGGCGAGGGUAACGGCCCACCAAGGCGACGAUGGGUAGCCGGCCUGAGAGGGUGAACGGCCACACUGGAACUGAGACACGGUCCAGACUCCUACGGGAGGCAGCAGUGGGGAAUAUUGUGCAAUGGGGGAAACCCUGACACAGCAACGCCGCGUGAGCGAAGAAGGCCUUCGGGUUGUAAAGCUCAAUAGUAUGGGAAGAUAAUGACGGUACCAUACGAAAGCCCCGGCUAACUACGUGCCAGCCGCCGCCGUAAUAC
rnacentral:rRNA from 1 species